UACGUAGGGGGCUAGCGUUGUCCGGAUUUAUUGGGCGUAAAGAGCGUGUAGGCGGCCAGAUAGGUCUGCUGUGAAAACUCGAGGCUCAACCUCGAGAUGUCGGCGGAAACCAUUUGGCUAGAGUCCGGAAGAGGAAAGUGGAAUUCCUGGUGUAGCGGUGAAAUGCGCAGAUAUCGGGAGGAACACCAAUGGCGAAGGCAGCUCGCUGGGACGGUACUGACGCUGAGACGCGAAAGCGUGGGGAGCAAACAGG
rnacentral:rRNA from 1 species